rnacentral:lncRNA from 1 species
ACAGGCAUACAGCAGGCGGGCCGGCAUACAGGGCGGCAGAGGAGGGACACGGAGGAGGAGGGUCUGCAGCAGGAGGAGGUGCAGCAAGCCGGCUGGCAGCUAGACUGCUGGCAGCACGAGGGCGUGCAGGAGCUGGUGCAGCCUGAUUGGCAGGGGCUGGGCUCACAGGCUGCCUGGCAGCAGGGGCUGGACACACGGCUCACUGGGGUGCAGACCAGGGUCAGGCAGGGGGCCGGGGCGCAGCAGCUGAGGGCGCAGCAGAGCUGGUGCAGCCUGAUUGGCAGGCGCUGGGCUCACAG